AGGAAGUAAAGUAACCUUUUGCGUUUUAGGUAGCCGAUUACAAUGUAUUUUCUUUAUUGCCGGCCCGAGACUUGUGUGUUCGAGUCUCGGGCCGCAAUACCACGACAAGGCACCGAACCCCCAACUGCUCCCCGGGCGCCGCAGCAUAAAUGAUGCCCACUGCCCCGGCAUCAAUGCAAUGUGGGCUUAAGUAUUCCAGAUUUCAGUCUUCCCAGCAUGAGGAUUGUUCUCCUGGGGAAGAACGUGUCAGAUAACAGUCGAGUGGGAAACUUCAUCUUAGGAACAGAUGCGUUUAAGAGUGAAGCUCCUGAUGAGAAGAUGCUCCAUCAGUACAGUCAGAGAGUUGGAGGAAG